rnacentral:rRNA from 1 species
AUUGAACGCUGGCGGCAGGCUUAACACAUGCAAGUCGAGCGGGGUGAUGGUGCUUGCACUAUCACUUAGCGGCGGACGGGUGAGUAAUGCUUAGGAAUCUGCCUAUUAGUGGGGGACAACAUCUCGAAAGGGAUGCUAAUACCGCAUACGUCCUACGGGAGAAAGCAGGGGAUCACUUGUGACCUUGCGCUAAUAGAUGAGCCUAAGUCGGAUUAGCUAGUUGGUGGGGUAAAGGCCUACCAAGGCGACGAUCUGUAGUGGGUCUGAGAGGAUGAUCCGCCACACUGGGACUGAGACACGGCCCAGACUCCUACGGGAGGCAGCAGUGGGGAAUACUGGACAAGGGGGGGAACCCUGAUCCAGCCAUGCCGCGUGUGUGAAGAAGGCCUUAUGGUUGUAAAGCACUUUAAGCGAGGAGGAGGCUCUUUUGGUUAAUACCCAAGAUGAGUGGACGUUACUCGCAGAAUAAGCACCGGCUAACUCUGUGCCAGCCGCCGCUGUAA